AAAGACUUAGUCCUAACCUUACCGUUAAUUUUUGCUAGAUGCAUACAUGCAAGUAUCCGCGCCCCAGUGUAAAUGCCCUCGGCCCCUUAACCCACCAGACAAGAGGAGCGGGUAUCAGGCACACCCAUUGUAGUAGCCCAAGACACCUUGCUUAGCCACACCCCCACGGGUACUCAGCAGUAGUUAACAUUAAGCAAUAAGUGUAAACUUGACUUAGCCAUAGCAAAGCCUAGGGCUGGUAAAUCUUGUGCCAGCCACCGCGGUCACACAAGAAGCCCAAAUUAACUGGAGCCCGGCGUAAAGAGUGGUACUAUACUAUCUAAACAACUAGGGCCAAAGCACGACUGAGCCGUCAUAAGCUUAAGACGUACCUAAGACCACCCUCAAAACGACCCUAGCCUGCAGAAAAGACGGAUUAAAGCACCACUAAAGCUAGGACACAAACUGGGAUUAGAUACCCCACUAUGCCUAGCCCUAAAUCUAGAUACUUACCCCACCAAAGUAUCCGCCCGAGAACUACGAGCACAAACGCUUAAAACUCUAAGGACUUGGCGGUGCCCCAAACCCACCUAGAGGAGCCUGUUCUAUAAUCGAUAACCCACGAUAGACCCAACCUCCCCUUGCCAAAACAGCCUACAUACCGCCGUCGUCAGCUCACCUCACCUGAGAGCACAACAGUGAGCACAACAGCCCCCCGCUAGCAAGACAGGUCAAGGUAUAGCUCAUGGGGUGGAAGAAAUGGGCUACAUUUUCUACUAAUAGAAAACUACGGAAAGGAGUCUGCAAGUGACCCCUGGAAGGCGGAUUUAGCAGUAAAGAAGGACAAUAAAGCCCUCUUUAAACAGGCCCUGGGGCACGUACAUACCGCCCGUCACCCUCCUCACAAGCCAUAACCCCCAAUAACUAAUACUUCUACCAGCCAAAGAAGAGGUAAGUCGUAACAAGGUAAGUGUACCGGAAGGUGUACUUAGCAUAU
rnacentral:ncRNA from 1 species